rnacentral:rRNA from 1 species
CGCGUAGGCGGCCUUCUAAGUCGGACGUGAAAGCCCCAGGCUUAACCUGGGAACUGCGUCCGAUACUGGGAGGCUUGGAUUCGGGAGAGGGAUGUGGAAUUCCAGGUGUAGCGGUGAAAUGCGUAGAUAUCUGGAGGAACACCGGUGGCGAAGGCGGCAUCCUGGACCGAGAUCGACGCUGAGGCGCGAAAGCUAGGGGAGCAAACGGGAUUAGAUACCCCGGUAGUCCUAGCCCUAAACGAUGAAUGCUUGGUGUGGCGGGUAUCGAUCCCUGCCGUGCCGAAGCUAACGCAUUAAGCAUUCCGCCUGGGGAGUACGGUCGCAAGGCUGAA